AUUUCUUCGGAAUGAAUUUGAUUUAGUUUAGUGGCGGACGGGUGAGUAACGCGUGAGUAACCUGCCUUCAAGAGGGGGAUAACAUUCUGAAAAGAAUGCUAAUACCGCAUGACAUAUCGGAACCACAUGGUUCUGAUAUCAAAGAUUUUAUCGCUUGAAGAUGGACUCGCGUCCGAUUAGUUAGUUGGUGAGGUAACGGCUCACCAAGACCGCGAUCGGUAGCCGGACUGAGAGGUUGAACGGCCACAUUGGGACUGAGACACGGCCCAGACUCC
rnacentral:rRNA from 1 species